AGUCCUUAGCGUGUUUUCUUAUGCAAAUAGGAGGAGAAUAAUAAUAAAAAAAUUUGGUAACCUAAGGAUUGAUCCUUAAUUAAGGCAUUUAAGGAUCAAAUCCUUAACGACGUGGCAGAACGAAGAUGAUGAAUCUGGGCAGGAAGAAUCGAAUAUAUGUUUCAAGAACUAAGAGAUUAUGGUGGCGACGAUCUGGAUUCAAGCUUUCACUGGUACCAAUUUCGAUUUCUCGACGUACUCCUCGGAUUUGAAAUCGGUUCUAGGGAUUUCUCAGGUUCAACUUAACUACCUCGCCGACGAUCUGGAUUUUAUGUUGACGACAGAUCCUUGGAGGUCUUACAAGAGGACGAGUCUGGACUUUUACGGCCAAUUGAUACAAACGCCAUCUACCAUGCUCAGUAUCGCCGCCGCCUCCGCCUCCGCAUGCUCUCCUCCUCCUCCGCCGCCGGUACUCGCAUUCAAAAGGGCCUUAUUCGCUAUCUAUACAUCGUCAUUGACUUUUCUCGGAGGAAAGAGCAGUUACAAGAUUCUCUCGCCUGACAUCAUGGUGUGGACAGUGAUUCUCUUAAGCCAUCACCAAGACUGGCAAAAGAAAGGGCGAGAGAGGAAGUGAGGCAGGCAACUAGUGCUGGUAUGAAAGAGCAAGAAGCGAUCAAUUUCUUGGAGAAGAAAAUGAAAGAGAACCCUGCCUUCACAUACGAUGAGACGGUGCAGGUUAGUUAUGGCUGAUUCUCCUCUUUUCUUCUUUGAUUGUCUUGUUCUUGUACUGGUUAGUUAUUGGUAGGAACACAUGAACCUACAAGAUCUCAUCCUCCACAAGCUCUGAUUAUUUUCUGUAUUGGUGAUGUCUGUUUUAUGGAUGCAAAGAUGGUACUUGUAUAUUAUUUACUUGAACGUUACUUGAAUAUUUGUAACUUUGCUGCUCAAAGCUAUCAGUUGAUGUUAUGUUGCCAUCAUCAAGUUUAUGAAGUGUAGAACAACAUUUUGAAUGGAACACUUUCUUUCAAGAAUCUAAA